GGGUUGUGAGGUUAAGCGACUAAGCGUACACGGUGGAUGCCCUGGCAGUCAGAGGCGAUGAAGGACGUGCUAAUCUGCGAUAAGCGUCGGUAAGGUGAUAUGAACCGUUAUAACCGGCGAUUUCCGAAUGGGGAAACCCAGUGUGUUUCGACACACUAUCAUUAACUGAAUCCAUAGGUUAAUGAGGCGAACCGGGGGAACUGAAACAUCUAAGUACCCCGAGGAAAAGAAAUCAACCGAGAUUCCCCCAGUAGCGGCGAGCGAACGGGGAGGAGCCCAGAGUCUGAAUCAGUGUGUGUGUUAGUGGAAGCGUCUGGAAAGGCGCGCGAUACAGGGUGACAGCCCCGUACACAAAAAUGCACAUAUUGUGAGCUCGAUGAGUAGGGCGGGACACGUGGUAUCCUGUCUGAAUAUGGGGGGACCAUCCUCCAAGGCUAAAUACUCCUGACUGACCGAUAGUGAACCAGUACCGUGAGGGAAAGGCGAAAAGAACCCCGGCGAGGGGAGUGAAAAAGAACCUGAAACCGUGUACGUACAAGCAGUGGGAGCACGCUUAGGCGUGUGACUGCGUACCUUUUGUAUAAUGGGUCAGCGACUUAUAUUCUGUAGCAAGGUUAACCGAAUAGGGGAGCCGAAGGGAAACCGAGUCUUAACUGGGCGUUAAGUUGCAGGGUAUAGACCCGAAACCCGGUGAUCUAGCCAUGGGCAGGUUGAAGGUUGGGUAACACUAACUGGAGGACCGAACCGACUAAUGUUGAAAAAUUAGCGGAUGACUUGUGGCUGGGGGUGAAAGGCCAAUCAAACCGGGAGAUAGCUGGUUCUCCCCGAAAGCUAUUUAGGUAGCGCCUCGUGAACUCAUCUCCGGGGGUAGAGCACUGUUUCGGCAAGGGGGUCAUCCCGACUUACCAACCCGAUGCAAACUGCGAAUACCGGAGAAUGUUAUCACGGGAGACACACGGCGGGUGCUAACGUCCGUCGUGAAGAGGGAAACAACCCAGACCGCCAGCUAAGGUCCCAAAGUCAUGGUUAAGUGGGAAACGAUGUGGGAAGGCCCAGACAGCCAGGAUGUUGGCUUAGAAGCAGCCAUCAUUUAAAGAAAGCGUAAUAGCUCACUGGUCGAGUCGGCCUGCGCGGAAGAUGUAACGGGGCUAAACCAUGCACCGAAGCUGCGGCAGCGACGCUUAUGCGUUGUUGGGUAGGGGAGCGUUCUGUAAGCCUGCGAAGGUGUGCUGUGAGGCAUGCUGGAGGUAUCAGAAGUGCGAAUGCUGACAUAAGUAACGAUAAAGCGGGUGAAAAGCCCGCUCGCCGGAAGACCAAGGGUUCCUGUCCAACGUUAAUCGGGGCAGGGUGAGUCGACCCCUAAGGCGAGGCCGAAAGGCGUAGUCGAUGGGAAACAGGUUAAUAUUCCUGUACUUGGUGUUACUGCGAAGGGGGGACGGAGAAGGCUAUGUUGGCCGGGCGACGGUUGUCCCGGUUUAAGCGUGUAGGCUGGUUUUCCAGGCAAAUCCGGAAAAUCAAGGCUGAGGCGUGAUGACGAGGCACUACGGUGCUGAAGCAACAAAUGCCCUGCUUCCAGGAAAAGCCUCUAAGCAUCAGGUAACAUCAAAUCGUACCCCAAACCGACACAGGUGGUCAGGUAGAGAAUACCAAGGCGCUUGAGAGAACUCGGGUGAAGGAACUAGGCAAAAUGGUGCCGUAACUUCGGGAGAAGGCACGCUGAUAUGUAGGUGAAGCGACUUGCUCGUGGAGCUGAAAUCAGUCGAAGAUACCAGCUGGCUGCAACUGUUUAUUAAAAACACAGCACUGUGCAAACACGAAAGUGGACGUAUACGGUGUGACGCCUGCCCGGUGCCGGAAGGUUAAUUGAUGGGGUCAGCGCAAGCGAAGCUCUUGAUCGAAGCCCCGGUAAACGGCGGCCGUAACUAUAACGGUCCUAAGGUAGCGAAAUUCCUUGUCGGGUAAGUUCCGACCUGCACGAAUGGCGUAAUGAUGGCCAGGCUGUCUCCACCCGAGACUCAGUGAAAUUGAACUCGCUGUGAAGAUGCAGUGUACCCGCGGCAAGACGGAAAGACCCCGUGAACCUUUACUAUAGCUUGACACUGAACAUUGAGCCUUGAUGUGUAGGAUAGGUGGGAGGCUUUGAAGUGUGGACGCCAGUCUGCAUGGAGCCGACCUUGAAAUACCACCCUUUAAUGUUUGAUGUUCUAACGUUGACCCGUAAUCCGGGUUGCGGACAGUGUCUGGUGGGUAGUUUGACUGGGGCGGUCUCCUCCUAAAGAGUAACGGAGGAGCACGAAGGUUGGCUAAUCCUGGUCGGACAUCAGGAGGUUAGUGCAAUGGCAUAAGCCAGCUUGACUGCGAGCGUGACGGCGCGAGCAGGUGCGAAAGCAGGUCAUAGUGAUCCGGUGGUUCUGAAUGGAAGGGCCAUCGCUCAACGGAUAAAAGGUACUCCGGGGAUAACAGGCUGAUACCGCCCAAGAGUUCAUAUCGACGGCGGUGUUUGGCACCUCGAUGUCGGCUCAUCACAUCCUGGGGCUGAAGUAGGUCCCAAGGGUAUGGCUGUUCGCCAUUUAAAGUGGUACGCGAGCUGGGUUUAGAACGUCGUGAGACAGUUCGGUCCCUAUCUGCCGUGGGCGCUGGAGAACUGAGGGGGGCUGCUCCUAGUACGAGAGGACCGGAGUGGACGCAUCACUGGUGUUCGGGUUGUCAUGCCAAUGGCACUGCCCGGUAGCUAAAUGCGGAAGAGAUAAGUGCUGAAAGCAUCUAAGCACGAAACUUGCCCCGAGAUGAGUUCUCCCUGACUCCUUGAGAGUCCUGAAGGAACGUUGAAGACGACGACGUUGAUAGGCCGGGUGUGUAAGCGCAGCGAUGCGUUGAGCUAACCGGUACUAAUGAACCGUGAGGCUUAACCUUACAACGCCGAAG
rnacentral:rRNA from 1 species